AAGUCGAGGGGCAGCGAGAUUGAAGCUUGCUUCAAUUGUCGGCGACCGGCGGACGGGUGCGUAACGCGUAUGCAACCUACCCAUAACAGGGGGAUAACACUGAGAAAUUGGUACUAAUACCCCAUAACAUCUCGAGUGGCAUCACUUGGGGUUGAAAGCUUCGGUGGUUAUGGAUGGGCAUGCGUUGUAUUAGCUAGUUGGAGAGGUAACGGCUCACCAAGGCGACGAUACAUAGGGGGACUGAGAGGUUAACCCCCCACAUUGGUACUGAGACACGGACCAAACUCCUACGGGAGGCAGCAGUGAGGAAUAUUGGUCAAUGGACGGAAGUCUGAACCAGCCAUGCCGCGUGCAGGAUGACGGCUCUAUGAGUUGUAAACUGCUUUUGUA
rnacentral:rRNA from 1 species